CUGAAAAACUCCUCAUGACGCCAUAGCACCCAUUGAAAUAGAGUGUUUGGAAAAAAACCGAAAUCUUUUGGUCCAGUGUAGAGGGCGUAGUCAGAAGAAAACGGCAACCAAUAGAAGUAAUACUCAUCAUCACUUCUAUUGGUUUCUGACACGUCCAUCAACCGCCAGCACUCACCCCUCCUCCCUGCGCGUUCACCGACUCGUGAACUUGACCGACCCCGCCCCCAUCAUUCAUGCACACGCGACAAGGCUCAUCAUCACUCGGCUAGUAGCAAGGUAACGAGAGUUAGCAGCAGGCUGAGCUACUUGGAAACUUUGGUGGCUUUUGCAGAGCUACAGGAAGAACUUUGGCUUUUGGAACACUAGACUAACCAUGUCAGGAUAACAUACUCCCUUGGAUUAUCAUCGGACUCGCAAAACCAGACUACAACACGGGCUGAAAAUUUGAAAUGGGACCUGACACUCUUGGACACAGAUGUCGGCUACGGCAGCGGCUUCAAAUACGCUUUGGUGACCAUAUUUCUAAUCGAGAGUUGUGCGAACGAGCCAGACAAACCAGCUGGGAGGAGGACGGAAGCACCCCUUCUCCAUCCGCGUUCAGUUGCUAAAUACGGCUCCACCCCGUAGUCAACAGCCGACAGGGUCCUUCCACAACCACAUACUUAUGCCAGUAAAAGCCACAGCUUUUCUCCCCCAAUCCAAGAAGCCUGGACUGCAGUCACCAUCUCAACACACCAACCAAGAGAAAGGCGGAUGGCUCAAUUCAGUAUGUAGUUCUGCAAAUAUUCUCAAAGGUCUUCACAGCCCCCCAUGGUGCAGAAUGCAUUUACAUUUUUUUGUGUAAGGUCAAAACAAUGCUGAUUACAGAACAUAACUAGGGCCAUGAAUGAAAUUUGAGGUAGCAGCCAGCCAUCACCUGAUGGUGAGAGGUGGUCCUAAGAUCAGAGAGAAGCAGGUUGAAAUCCCAUCCUUACCUCUCCCUACCUACACCUCCAUCCACAGCUGAAGUGCACUUGAGCAAGGCACACAAGUCCACUUAGGUCCUGGGACUGUAGCCAACACCCUGUAAAACCCUGCUGUGUAAUUUGAUGUAAUGAAGCCCUAAUAUAGUCUAACACAUUGCUUGUUACAGAUAUGGAAAAUUGCACAAUAAAAGUUCCAGGACAUGAAGGCUGCAUACUGUGAACGUCAACCUUCAGGGCACCGUCCUGCGCAGAAGACUUUCUACCCUAAGAGGGAUGGCUGACCGCAGACACUCACAACCAGCACAGACGCCUCCAACCUCAAACUAGGCCCUUCACAGUUGCUGCUCUUACCCACCUUCCCAGAGUUUUUGUGUGGUAAUGACAACUGUAAAUAUAGUAUAAAGUAAUGUAUCUAGUGUCAUGUGUAAUACAUUGUUGAAAUUGUCCAUACAUUUCAAUGACAGUAAAUAUUGGUGGACACAAUUUGACUGUGUGGCUUUUUUUUAAUUCAUUCUCUGACUGAAAAUGCAUGGUUACAUAAUUUAUAUAUUCCACAAGACCACAAUCAGAAGAACAUUUGACAGGUUGCAUUUAUUUUCUAUGUAUGAAAAAAACAAUGGUAACAAGACAAACGUGGUUCCAAACCAAAAAGGUGAGAUGUACAGAUGAAUGCUCCUACAGAUAAUGAAAAAGAAUAAAAGUCUGCACACUGCCGGUUUGUGUGUUUUAUACCGUACUCUGUAUAAACCUUUUAUAUUGCUCUAGUGGAGCAGGGUAACCCUGGCUAAUCCUGGGUAUUGUACUGUGUAUUACAACGUCAGCCCUGUUCAAGUGCCCCAUACUGUCUGUAGGCUGCAUGCCUGAAGAGACCGUUUCUCUCACCUGGUCCUACAUCAGCCCAAAGUCUUAUCAAAACUGAGAACACCACAGCAUUUCCUUUCAAUGUUCAUGGGCAUCUCCUUACAGAUUGCGCAGAGGCGCCAGGUUGGUUGUGCUACUGGGCUGUGACUGAGGACCAGAUGUCAUGUGCCAGGUCGAACAUCAAACUGGGGUCACGGGUCAGGGCACGCUGCAGUAACCGAUGGGAUUGC